UACAGAGGGGGCAAGCGUUAUUCGGAAUUAUUGGGCGUAAAGGGCGCGUAGGCGGCCUGGCAAGUGGAAGGUGAAAUCCCUCGGCUUAACCGAGGAACUGCCUCCCAAACUGCUUGGCUCGAGACCGGGAGAGGUGAGUGGAAUUCCCAGUGUAGCGGUGAAAUGCGUAGAUAUUGGGAGGAACACCAGUGGCGAAGGCGGCUCACUGGACCGGUACUGACGCUGAUGCGCGAAAGCCAGGGGAGCAAACGGG
rnacentral:rRNA from 1 species